GACGAACGCUGGCGGCGUGCUUAACACAUGCAAGUCGAACGGUGAAGCGCCUUCCUUUUUGGUGGGUGUGGAUGAGUGGCGAACGGGUGAGUAACACGUGAGUAACCUGCCCCCUUCUUCUGGAUAACCGCAUGAAAGUGUGGCUAAUACGGGAUAUUCUGGGUCUGUCGCAUGAUGGGUCUGGGAAAGAUAUUGUUUCGGUGGGGGAUGGGCUCGCGGCCUAUCAGCUUGUUGGUGGGGUGAUGGCCUACCAAGGCGGUGACGGGUAGCCGGCCUGAGAGGGUGGACGGUCACACUGGGACUGAGACACGGACCAGACUCCUACGGGAGGCAGCAGUGGGGAAUAUUGCACAAUGGGCGCAAGCCUGAUGCAGCGACGCCGCGUGAGGGAUGGAGGCCUUCGGGUUGUGAACCUCUUUCGCCAGUGAAGCAGGCCUGCCUCGUUUGUGGGUGGGUUGACGGUAGCUGGAUAAGAAGCGCCGGCUAACUACGU
rnacentral:rRNA from 1 species